AUGGCUGCUCGCUAGAAGCGCUGAAAAUUCUGGCCUAUAGAAACCCAUCCCGGGGAUCUUCAAACCCGCGACAGAUAGCGCAGAAAGCAUCACCGCAACGCUGCUUAGGCGGCAAGCGUUACCUUCAGUGUUCUGGGGCUGUUCGUUUCUGCGUGAUCUGUCGACUGUGUGCCGGCUUUUCCUCCCCUAGGUGUCUGUUCGAAGUCUUUCGCGGUGCUGUCCGAACGGAUGCUCCAGCUUCAUCCUCCCCCAUCGCUCACUUCUCCCUGCGUUCCGCAAAUGAUGGAUCACGACGAUGUUUAAGGCAACUUUCCAACCGACCAUGGCACCACGAAACGACACCCCCACUGCGGCGCUGUGAGUUACUAUUAAAGAGAGGCAUUUGCGGAGAAGUUGGAGCAGAGUUGCCAUGCCAACCACGCCUGCAGCUACCGCUACCAGCAUCGCCAACACCGAACACUGAUGCGAACGUUGGCAGUUUAAUCCAGUUCGUAAUCCUCAGAGCGAGAGGAGGCGCAAGUGGAUGGGGAUCACGCAGACACGCGCUAAAGAAGCACUGGCGUACCAGUUCCUGUCGUCUGUCAUGGCGUGGAAAAACAAGCAUGAGACCCAGGCAGCAGCGAUGGGCGGCGGAGAGUGCCGCCAUGAAAGACUGGGAGCUGUUAGUUCGCUUACGGGGACCAUGCAGAGAAGCGAAAUAACUUCCUGAUUUGGGAUCGCCGUGAUGAGGUUGACAGCGCUGUACAGUGAUUAUGCCUUGCGGCGGAAGCAAACUAAGUAAAGGACUAGCAGAACAAGUUAUAAAACAGUGUUAGCACGCAUGCCUCACCGAGAGCAG